AUUGAACGCUGGCGGCAGGCUUAACACAUGCAAGUCGAGCGGGGGAGGUUGCUUCGGUAACUGACCUAGCGGCGGACGGGUGAGUAAUGCUUAGGAAUCUGCCUAUUAGUGGGGGCCAACAUCUCGAAAGGGAUGCUAAUACCGCAUACGUCCUACGGGAGAAAGCAGGGGACCUUAGGGCCUUGCGCUAAUACAUGAGCCUAAGUCGGAUUAGCUAGUUGGUGGGGUAAAGGCCUACCAAGGCGACGAUCUGUAGCGGGUCUGAGAGGAUGAUCCGCCACACUGGGACUGAGACACGGCCCAGACUCCUACGGGAGGCAGCAGUGGGGAAUAUUGGACAAUGGGGGGAACCCUGAUCCAGCCAUGCCGCGUGUGUGAAGAAGGCCUUUUGGUUGUAAAGCACUUUAAGCGAGGAGGAGGCUACUGGUAUUAAUACUACCGGAUAGUGGACGUUACUCGCAGAAUAAGCACCGGCUAACUCUGUGCCAGCCGCCGCGGUAAGAC
rnacentral:rRNA from 1 species